rnacentral:snoRNA from 1 species
AUAAGCCAAUGUGCUCGUAGUCUGAAUAACUCAGAAAUUGAUAGUGUUUUACAUCAGCUUUAUCUCUGCUUCGGCCUUGGGAUAUUAGUUAAACUAGAACACUAUAUUA